rnacentral:tmRNA from 1 species
GGGGAUGACUGGCUUCGACGGGGAAGGCUGGCCCUGGAUUGCAAGCCGAGCACGCUUCACAUCUCGUAAAACUGGAAGCACACGCAUAAGUGCCAAUCGCACCAAUGCAUACAGCGCUCUCCCCAUGGCUGCGUAAAGCAACCUAAGGAAAGCCAGAUGUUCCCCUAAACAAGGAACCCGUUCGCUUUUGCUCUCUCGUCGACGGGGCAAUUGCGGGCGACACUAAUGUCGACGUGCUCCACGGCGAUGCCGAUGGCCGUGGCUAGAGAUGCCCUCUCGGGGGUGAUCGGCUAGGACCGACUGACCCAGUCGAUUGGGGCGCCCGGUCACGAAACUAAAUAGAUCGACUAAGCUUGUAGACAUCUGGAGGUCGAAUUUUUCGGACGCGGGUUCGAUUCCCGCCAUCUCCACCA